rnacentral:rRNA from 1 species
AGUGAACGCUGGCGGUAGGCCUAACACAUGCAAGUCGAACGGCAGCACGGUAAGAGCUUGCUCUUACGGGUGGCGAGUGGCGGACGGGUGAGGAAUACAUCGGAAUCUACUUUUUCGUGGGGGAUAACGUAGGGAAACUUACGCUAAUACCGCAUACGACCUACGGGUGAAAGCAGGGGAUCUUCGGACCUUGCGCGAUUGAAUGAGCCGAUGUCGGAUUAGCUAGUUGGCGGGGUAAAGGCCCACCAAGGCGACGAUCCGUAGCUGGUCUGAGAGGAUGAUCAGCCACACUGGAACUGAGACACGGUCCAGACUCCUACGGGAGGCAGCAGUGGGGAAUAUUGGACAAUAGGCGCAAGCCUGAUCCAGCCAUACCGCGUGGGUGAAGAAGGCCUUCGGGUUGUAAAGCCCUUUUGUUGGGAAAGAAAAGCAGCAGGUUAAUACCCCGCUGUUCUGACGGUACCCAAAGAAUAAGCACCGGCUAACUUCGUG